rnacentral:rRNA from 1 species
GAUCUUGGCUCAGGAUGAACGCUAGCUACAGGCUUAACACAUGCAAGUCGAGGGGCAGCAUGAACUUAGCUUGCUAAGUUCGAUGGCGACCGGCGCACGGGUGAGUAACACGUAUCCAACCUCCCGCUUACUCAGGAAUAGCCUUUCGAAAGAAAGAUUAAUGCCUGAUGGUAUCUUAAGCACACAUGUAAUUAAGAUUAAAGAUUUAUCGGUAAGCGAUGGGGAUGCGUUCCAUUAGGUAGUAGGCGGGGUAACGGCCCACCUAGCCGACGAUGGAUAGGGGUUCUGAGAGGAAGGUCCCCCACAUUGGAACUGAGACACGGUCCAAACUCCUACGGGAGGCAGCAGUGAGGAAUAUUGGUCAAUGGGCGCGAGCCUGAACCAGCCAAGUAGCGUGAAGGAUGAAGGUCCUAUGGAUUGUAAACUUCUUUUAUACGGGAAUAAAGUGGCCUACGCGUAGGCUUUUGCAUGUACCGUAUGAAUAAGCAUCGGCUAACUCCGUGCCAGCAGCCGCGGUAAUACGGAGGAUGCGAGCGUUAUCCGGAUUUAUUGGGUUUAAAGGGAGCGCAGACGGGGGAUUAAGUCAGUUGUGAAAGUUUGCGGCUCAACCGUAAAAUUGCAGUUGAUACUGGUUCCCUUGAGUGCAGUUGAGGCAGGCGGAAUUCGUGGUGUAGCGGUGAAAUGCAUAGAUAUCACGAAGAACCCCGAUUGCGAAGGCAGCCUGCUAAGCUGUAACUGACGUUGAGGCUCGAAAGUGUGGGUAUCAAACAGGAUUAGAUACCCUGGUAGUCC